rnacentral:rRNA from 1 species
AACGAACGCUGGCGGCAUGCCUAACACAUGCAAGUCGAACGAGACCUUCGGGUCUAGUGGCGUAUGGGUGCGUAACGCGUGGGAACCUGCCUUUAGGUUCGGAAUAACACAGAGAAAUUUGAGCUAAUACCGGAUGAUGUCUUCGGACCACAGAUUUAUCGCCUUUAGAUGGGCGCGCGUUGGAUUAGCUAGUGGGUGGGGUAAAGGCCUACCACGGCGACGAUCCAUAGCUGGUCUGAGAGGAUGAUCAGCCACACUGGGACUGAGACACGGCCCAGACUCCUACGGGAGGCAGCAGUGGGGAAUAUUGGACAAUGGGCGAAAGCCUGAUCCAGCAAUGCCGCGUGAGUGAUGAAGGCCUUAGGGUUGUAAAGCUCUUUUACCCGAGAUGAUAAUGACAGUAUCGGGAGAAUAAGCUCCGGCUAACUCCGUG